GGCGCCGCAGCCCGCGACUUCCACAGACAGCCAUCCAGCCAUCCAGCCUCCCAGCCAGCCAUCCAGCCUCCCAGCCAGCCAUCCAGCCUCCCAGCCAGCCAUCCAGCCAGCCGGUGUUUCCUUCCUGCUGCAGGCCAAUCCGCUCAUUGUCGCCGUGUUGGGUUACAAGUGACAAGGGCCUUGUCUGAACCACGACUUUUACCAAGAUAAUAUUACAGGUUCACAGCUGAUCCAUCUCCCAGUGCACAAUUGAGACAGAGGAGGUUAAAGCACUCUGAACACGUGGGGCCAUAUUGCAGCGCCUCCCAGCACUCUUCCAUGUUCUCCUCCAUCUGCCUCCUGUCCAUUGAUCAGCCUUCCAGGGCAUCAGUCUGUUUAACAUCUGCUACAAGUUCCAGCAGCUCAGUCACUGCCAACAUCGCUGGAUUCCAGCAGACUUACUCUCUGAAUAGUUUUCCAGAGCAGAGAUGGGAGAGGUUGCGAUCUGCAUCAGCAUGUGAUUCCCAGCGUGUUCUUAGGAGAACCGGCUCUGUGACAUAUGGAGAUGCUCGCCGCCGCAGCCACACCUGGCCGACUCUCUCCUCUCUCUGUACAGAUGAUAUCACAGCGCUAACUGCGACAAGAUUCCCACAAGGCUCUCCUUUACAGUGAAGCAUGUCAUCUGACCGUGUCGCCCAGCUAAACCCAAAUAUUGUGCAUCGUUGGUAAAGAAAGGUCAGACAACUUGUGAGUCGGGUAUUACAGGUUGUGUUCUCUAAUUAAGUAUUCAUAAAGCAGCAGUGGGAGCACAGUAUAGGUUUACAUGACAGUGGUGGUUCCCCCUCGCCCCAUAUGUAAUGCUUGGCUUUCUCCCCACGGGCAGACAGGCCAUCAGUCCUAGUGUACUUCCAGCAAUGAUAUCAAAAAGGUUUUUUGGUCAAGCCAAAGAGAGGUCACUCUAAUAAUACCCAAGGUCAGUGGUGGGAGCCAGCAAGUCUCCCAGUCAUUAUUCAUUUGUUCACAAAGUUAAUGACAGUUGCAGGGGAACGAGAACUUGGAGCCAGUAGCCAUGUGAUGUCACUAACACAUGCCAGGGGAUUAGGAGGGCAGGCAGAGGACAAGGAGUGUGGAUUAUACAAGGGGGAAAAAAAGCCACCUUUACUGCUCCAUCACCCAGCUCUUCAUGUUUACUGCUGGAGUUAUGACAAAUACAUGGAGAGAUCACUGAAUCAUGACAAGUGGAUGAUACUGAAACAAACACAUCAAAGAAACGCUGUAGUAGUAAUAAUAAGAGUUUUAUUUAUUCAGCUUGAAUGUUCUGUUGAAAGAUAUUUCACAUGUUUAACGCCCUCACCUUGAAGAGAGAACAUGCUGCUAAGCCAGUCUCCAUCAUUCAUUUACAGCCUUUUGGUAAAUGACAAAAUAUUGUGGAUGUUUUUAUGGUGAGAGGUGAUCCAACGAUUUCAGCCUCUCUAAUUUACUUCCCUUUAACAAAUGACAGUGUUUCAUAGUCACCACAUUAUACGUGAUGUUGUAGUGAAGCACAGAGACAACACUGGCAGGAAAACUGGAGCCUGUGGCUUUCACACAGAGAGAAUGAACAAUGAGCACACCUUAUUCAGUCAUUGGGCAGGCAGCGCACAGUGAACAAUGAACCCCUCCCUCCUGUCUAGCACCAUGUCUGAUAAUGACCACAUCCACCGCCGCUGAUAGCGCUCCUCUUUUAUGACCUACAUGUGCAUAAAUACGGCUCAAAUAAAACAUCCAGGAAGGGUUUUGAGCAUUUGGUGAGCUGUGCACAAGUAGCAACAGACACUGUAUUUUUCUUUCUGUAAAUAGCCAUAUGUUGCAUAUCUACCUACAGUACUGUACCCACCACGAAGUGAAACUGUAUGGUUUUGUUUCCUGCACCAAAAACGCACCUUAUGUUUCAUCUAAAUAACAAUUAGCCAAAGCCUUUGUUGCAGAUCAGCUGUUAAAAGAGUGCUGUCUUGUUCCUUCAGUUACAUCUGCUAAAGAAUAACCUGCAUUUUGUCAAAUGCAGGAAUCUGCCUUUUUGGCCUUUGUCUCAGCAGCUAACAUGUAGUGGAUCCCCUGUUUGAGCAUAAGGUCAGAGUAUAAAUAUGAACUGCAUUUUGCAUUACUUUCAGAUGAGUGAAGCUGUCAGACUAAUAAUAUGAGCUUUCAGUCCUACUUUCUGCCACUUAUCCCCCAUUCUAGGACCAAGGGGUCAUGUGAAAAUUGAAAAUGACAGUCAAAGCAGCAUGUUGAACAGGCUGAUUGGACCGCGCUGUCAUCGUCCAGAUCAGAGCUCUUUAACACCAGGCCUAUCAGACGCCUUCCUCUGUGGAAGCCACUGGAUCCCAGUAAGAAAAAUAAAAUGCUUUUGAAGGAAAGAAAAUAUCACUAAACCAAAAAUUGUUGGUGUACUGGAAACCGAGAAUCAAAACAGCCCCACAGAUUAUAAAAGCGGUCUACACAACAAACUGAAAACGAUUCCACUAAUUAACAAGAAAGGCAAAGUUUUAAUCAGUUGUCUAAAAAACUUAACGGCAAAAACAAAAGCAUCAGAGUUCACUGAGGGGCUUCUCUCUCCGACAGGAUUCAGCUCUCGUUUCCAGUUUCAGCUGAAUGAAGUCCGGUGGUUUUCCUUUGUGGCCGUUUGAAUGAAAAUGUUUGUAUCACCUGUUUUGCAGAUGAUUUAAUGAGCGCACAAUGCUGUCACAUGAAAGAAUUUUUUUACUCCAUCGAAAGCAUUCCCUGUCAAUUUAUAUUUUGUUUCAUAUGCAGCAUUGCAUGAAGCUCUGUCGCAAGCAAUCAGCUCUCUGUCAGCCAUUCAGAUGAUAAUAAAUCACGUCACUACCACUUCUACUUGGGUCCAUCUUUGAAACAGAGGAAGAAUGAAAUAUUUUUGUCAGGUGGGAGAAAAACUUAUGAUCCUUUUAUGUCCUGCUGAGAACCCUUGAAAAUAAUAAUACACCACAGCAGAAACACAUGAACGACUGAAAGGCACUGAUUGUUAUAAAUCAGAUGGGAUUUGCAUAUUUUGCCUCCCUAACAGGAAGCAGGCAAAAUAAAUCACAUGACUAAUGGAGAAAAAAAAAAGGUUACAAAACACACUGAGAAGUUAGGGUUCACAAUAAGACAGAUAUGUUUCUCCAGAAUUCACCUGUGAUUGAAAAUGUGAGGAUAUGGAGGUAAAAGCUUCUUGGAAAAAAAAAAUCAUUUUUUUAAAUUCUCAUAUCUGAAAGACUCAUAAUUUGAAAAAGUCAAAUAAUGAUAUAGUUAUCAUUUGUAUAUUUGACCUUUGUUCACCUCCCCUUCAGUUCACUUCUCUCUAAUGUAAUCAGUGAACAAAUUUACUUUUACCAGUAAAGUACACUGAAGCUCACCAUCAAAUCAUCCUGGUCCUUGCUUAGUCGGUUAACUUAGGCAUCAAAGUGUCAAAUCUUGUUUGUCUUUGCUUUGGUGUGAGUUGUGGCUUGCUGUGAAGUGAAGAAGACAUUGUCAGACUUGUUGUUAGUUUAUCAUUGUGAACUGUGCUAGAAUAUUAAUACUAUUACAUCAUGUAGAAGAAGUAGCCAGACUAGAGUCAUGUCAGUUCUGGGGUUUUCCUGGACUGCACUGACAAGGGUUAUAAGAAAGCUUAAACAUCAACUGUCCCAACAGCCUUGAGAUGCAAACAUCCAGACUUGAAGGAAAAAUUCCCAGUGUUGGUUUUUGUCCUGAGCUGUGAUUGGUUGAAACAGCUUGACUCAACACUUGGACAAAAUUUCCUACAACAUGUCUACUGGGGCUUUGCUUUGCAGCAGACUGCUCUGUGUCAUCAUACAUGUCUGGUGUGUGUGUG